CAGAUCUUAACAAGGGAGGUGUAAACGUGGGUUCCCAUCUGAGCAAUUACACCAGUCUGUGAUAUUCCUCACUUUCUGCUUUGUCAUACCCAGAGUUCAGAAGAAGAGGACAGCAUUUCUAGCUCUGCAGAAGCUGACUGCUAUUUGCUAGAGUUCCUUUGGAACUGAUGAGACCUUCACCUUUCCUCUCUUGUUCCAUGAUUUGGGAAAAUCGCUACUCACCAGCCUCAGCCCAAGUAAAAUCUUUGAUAAUGGAAGAAAAAGAACCAUUCUAAGGAGCAGCACAUUCCAUGGACUGGUGAUGGAGAGACUUCUCAUUAUCUGUGCAAAGCUCAUGUAAUGAAAAUGUAUCAAUAAAUAUAGUUCACUGU